UCACUCACCCACUAUUAUAGACAUCCACAGAAUAACAAUCCUUUCAUAAAACAAUCACGUUUUUUACCACCUCUACAUCACUGUUCUCCACUGAAAGUCUCUGACCUCAGAUCCAUGGACAGAUCUAGGAGUUUGAAAAGAAAGAAAUAUUGGUGUUGAAAUGGACAGAACAACUCGUUCUUCAUACAUGUAGCCAAGAAGCUGCACCUGUUUCUUUAAAGAUGUCCUAUUUGGUAUAGCCUCUGUCACCUUGACACUGAAUAACUGCAAUGUGAUCUGAAUGGGACUAUACAUUUACGCAGAAACUGAAGCUGAUACAGACUUUAUCCUCUCAUGCAUGUAGCUGAAGUAUGUGAAAGGGGAAGAGACGAGACAAAG